UCGUGCAUUAGCGUAUGUUGUGAUUCUUCAGUUAAAUUUGAAUUUUGAAUUUUUUAUUACAGGUUAGGAAACAAAUUUAUUGUAUGUUUUUAAUAAAAACGUGUUCAUGUGCACAAUUAACGGAACUGGAAUCAAAUGAAGAAGAAAAUGCCCCCGAAACGUGAUACGCAUUAUUCUCAGGCAUUUCGCGAUACAUACACGCGGUAUUUUCCGUGUAUUCUUAAAUAAAGCAAGGGAACACAGUUCACAUUUUGUUCAGUGUAGAUGCGACAUGAACAUUGGGCACGGCGGAAGAUAUGACAUCAAUCUCCACGUGAACUGUUCAAAACAUCUUGCAAAUGUUAAAAGUGUCGCAGUCAGUUAAAAGCGAUGGAUGUUCCCACCAUCGUUAACCCCAAUUCGUUCCUGGGAUUUGGAAGUAACAAGUGGUGCUAUGAUUGAGCACUUGAAAAAGUGUCCUUAUACGAACGAAAGUGACUGACUUCAGAACCUGUCCGAGUUAUGUUGUAACCUGUAAGAACACCACCUACCAGAAGCUCUUCUGUGAUAAAAAUGUUAAAGUUAACAAGUUUUGUAUAGUUAUUUGUUUUCAAGAGGAUCUCAAUUUAUGGAAAAUUUAAUUAGCAGUACUGUAUUUGAAUAGAGAGACUAGAAAAAUUUUAAUGCAGUAUUGUGAUAUGCCAGCAGUAUUAGGAAUUAUUCAAGUGAUAUAACUCACAUUGAUUAUUUCAUAAAUACAACUGUAAAACUUAGCAUAUGAUGUUGAUGGAUAUUUUCAGAAACUCAGGAAUAAUAUGCACCUGUACUUUAUAUGUUAUCUUUAAAAGAUUUGUGCAAUGGGAGUGCAUGACUUGAUGUAAGUUUUUGGACAUACGCCAUUGCUAAGAACUUUUUCUGUUGAAGAAAAACUAAUAAAUAAAAUAAAUAAAUAAAAAUAAAAAUACUCAAAAAAAUAUACAAAAAACACACAAAAUUAAGCAAACAAUUGCUGUUGUCAACAAGGAUAUGAACACCACAAAAUAUUCCGAAACAGGAAUAUGGUCAGCAAACAAAGAAAAAAACAAAGAAAAAUGUACUAAGAGAACGAAAAAAUCCCCACAAAUGAUGACAACACAAAAAUAUUGAAACCCAAAAUAAUUCAGCACAACAGUUGAAGCGAGACAAAAAACAUGACAAAACGAAAAAACAAACAAAUACAAUAGUUUUACCUAAACAGAAACAAGCGACGUUUCGGGAACUGCGACAGUCGCACCUGUGUUUCCGUGCCAUGUGCGUCUCUGCCUGAGGACGGGAGCAGAUAGCAGUUCCCGAAACGUCGCUUGUUUCUGUUUAGGUAAAACUAUUGUAUUUGUUUGUUUUUUCGUUUUGUCAUGUUUUUUGUCUCGCUUCAACUGUUGUGCUGAAUUAUUUUGGGUUUCAAUAUUUUUGUGUUGUCAUCAUUUGUGGGGAUUUUUUCGUUCUCUUAGUACAUUUUUCUUUGUUUUUUCUUUGUUUGCUGACCAUAUUCCUGUUUCGGAAUAUUUUGUGGUGUUCAUAUCCUUGUUGACAACAGCAAUUGUUUGCUUAAUUUUGUGUGUUUUUUGUAUAUUUUUUUGAGUAUUUUUAUUUUUAUUUAUUUAUUUUAUUUAUUAGUUUUUCUUCAACAGAAAAAGUUCUUAGCAAUGGCGUAUGUCCAAAAACUUACAUCAAGUUGUACUUUAUACCUAGAUAUAUAGUGUUUUUGUCUCUGUUUUAUACUUGGGUGUAAUGAAUAUCAUACAGCGUAUAUUUGCGUGAGCUUAUUUUUAUGGGACUCAGUUAAAGAAUACGUAGUGAAGAUUUAGUGUUUGUAUAUAAAUAUAUUUAUUUUUAUUUAGUUAGCUUUAAGAAGUUAUUUUUAUGCUUAUUUCAUAAUGGGGAAACGUAUUCAAGUCUGAUUUAAUUUCUAGGAAUUAAAAUUUUAACAUUCUUGUUUUAGGUAGGAUUUUUUCACCAUGUCUACCAUUGAAUCUUUUAUAUUUGGUUUGCUGAUUUUAAUAUAGUCUAUAUUACAUCACAGCUAUUUUUGUGACAAUAGGCUAAGUAUUGAGAUGUAGAAAGCAGGAAGGAGAGAAAACUAUUUUGUGUAGAUAACUUUUUUUAAAAUGGAUGAGUACUCAGGACUACAUAACUAGUGAGCAGGGAAGACCUUGUUUAAACUUGAAUACAAUCUUCUAUUAGUAUUCUAUAGUGCCUUUAUAUUUAAGUAGUUUGUUAAAAUAGCCAACUAUGCAUCACUUUUUAUGUGUUGACUUUAUGGGGGAAAAACCAGAAGUAUGAAUAAAUGGCAAUAAAAGGAGAGCUAUUACAUUUGUAUUAUGUUGAAUACUACGCUUAUACGCAUUAUAGGAGUUAAAUCAGUAGAGAAGCAGAGAACCCCCAAAAACCAAUUUGGGUGACUUUAGUGUAUUUUCAAUGAGCGUCACUUGAAAGCACAAAAUACCAAAUAUGUGAGAAGACAAAUUCGGUAUAUAAGAAAACCAAGUUGGAUGACUUUAGUGUAUUUUAAAUGUGGGUCACUUGAAAGGACAACACACCAAAUAUGUGAAAAGAUAAUUACAUAAGCAGUUAAAUAGCUGCAAUCAUAUGUAACUAAUAGUUCCUGAAACCAAAAAAAUCAAAGAUUGAUUCUAGUGACUACUAGGUUCACUUUUAAAACCAGUGGAAACCUUUUUCACAUCUGAGUUUUAUGUGAGGAAUUAUUGGUUUCCUAGUUCGUAUUUUGAUCUCACUUUGUGUGCAUGCGUGUGUGUGUUUAUGUGUAUGUGUAUGCGUAUGUUUAGAGAGAGCAGAGGAGGGUUUUGUUACUAUUAUGUCUAUGUGAUAUUCCUUUCUUUUAGUAAUAAUGUAGCAAUAAUUAAUAAUUUUGGAAUUCCUUUGCAUUGUGGGUAUUUGACGGGUAGGUUUUAACAUUGCAAAGAGAGUAUUUGUGUGUUAUUUUAAUGUUUAGUUUUAUAAAUGUCUCUUUUAAUGAUGCAUCUUAUUGCAUUAAUAAUUCUCAGUGAGGACUAUAUGGACAGGGCCAGUGAAUUUUUUGUAUUUUUCUACAUAAGUGACUACUAACGUUUUAGAUGGUGUUAUAUAAAAACAAUACCAAAUACAUUGGUCAUAAAAAACUGUAAAACAAAUUGAUGGGUGGAAUUUAAAUGUGUAUAAAUUCUAAUAAUAAAUAAGAGUACCUAUAUUUCAAAUAUUUUUGAUGAGCUACAAACCAAUGUUACAUUAUUCAGAUCUAUUGGUAUUUUCCUUAAAAAUAAGAAAGAAUUGUGUGUUGCUGAAAAUUAAUGUAACAGAAAUUAGUCUUACCUUUUCUAGAAACGUUAAUGUAUUUUUAUCAUAUUUAAGGACUGUAAUCUACAAGUUUAAAGUGCUUAUGCCUAGAAUGGAAACCUUAAAGUUGGUGUCGGUGUUGGGCUAGUCUUAUAGUUACCUGUUUUGUAAAGAGUGUUUAAUUUUGAAUAAAUUGUUGAAUAUAGUAUAAAAAAUUAGUAUUGCCAAAUUUUUAUUAUUAUUAAGAAGUUUUGCUAAGAAACUAUUCAAAUAAAUUUUUUUCAAUAUAUUAUAUGUUUAUAAAUUUAAGGAGUACUUUAAAAAUAAGUGUGAUAUCAUUCAUAUUUAUUUUGCAAAUUUAAUCAACGAGGUUUUCAUUCCAGGUUAUUGUGUAAUUG